rnacentral:rRNA from 1 species
GUGCCGGGCGUCAACGCCAAUAAGUAUUCCACCCUGGGGAGUACGUUCGCAAGAAUGGAAACUCAAAAGGAAUUGACGGGGACCCGCACAAGCGGGUGGAGCAUGUGGUUUAAUUCGAAGCAACGCGAAGAACCCUUACCAAGUCUUGACAUCCCAAUGACAGAGUAUGUAAUGUACUUUCCCUUCGGGGCAUUGGAGACAGGUGGUGCAUGGUUGUCGUCAGCUCGUGUCGUGAGAUGUUGGGUUAAGUCCCGCAACGAGCGCAACCCUUAUCUUCAGUAGCCAGCAGUAAGAUGGGCACUCUGGAGAGACUGCCAGGGAUAACCUGGAGGAAGGUGGGGAUGACGUCAAAUCAUCAUGCCCCUUAUGACUUGGGCCACACACGUGCUACAAUGGCGUAAACAAAGAGAAGCGAGAGCGUGAGCUGGAGCAAAUCUCAAAAAUAACGUCUCAGUUCGGACUGUAGUCUGCAACCCGACUACACGAAGCUGGAAUCGCUAGUAAUCGCGGAUCAGAAUGCCGCGGUGAAUACGUUCCCGGGUCUUGUACACACCGCCCGUCACACCAUGGGAGUUGGUAAUGCCCGAAGUCAGUGAUCCAAGAAAGGAAGCUGCCGAAGGCAGGACUGAUAACUGGGGUGAAGUCGUAACAAGGUA